rnacentral:rRNA from 1 species
CCAGCAGCCGCGGUAAUUCCAGCUCUACUAGCGUAUAUUAAAGUUGUUGCAGUUAAAAAGCUCGUAGUUGGAUUUCUGGCAUAACGAGCCGAGCCGGCCUCUUCGGAGGUCAGUGCUUGUGCUUGUUAGCCAUCCUGCCAGUUUUGGACCAUUUUCUGCUCUCUUCGGAGGGUUGGGAUUUGGGACCUGGCUCUAUUACUUUGAAAAAAUUAGAGUGUUUAAAGCAGGCAUUUUGCUCUGAAUACAUUAGCAUGGAAUAAUAAUUUAGGACUUGGGUUCUAUUUUGUUGGUUUCUAGGAUCUAAGUAAUGAUUGAUAGGGACAGUUGGGGGUGCUAGUACUCAGUGGCCAGAGGUGAAAUUCUUUGAUUCACUGAAGACUAACUUAUGCGAAAGCAUUCACCAAGGAUGUCUUCUUUAAUCAAG